UACGAAGGGGGCUAGCGUUGCUCGGAAUCACUGGGCGUAAAGCGCACGUAGGCGGAUUGCUAAGUCAGGGGUGAAAUCCUGGAGCUCAACUCCGGAACUGCCUUUAAAACUGCAUCGCUUGAAUCCAGGAGAGGUGAGUGGAAUUCCGAGUGUAGAGGUGAAAUUCGUAGAUAUUCGGAAGAACACCAGUGGCGAAGGCGGCUCACUGGAGCUGGUAUUGACGCUGAGGUGCGAAAGCGUGGGGAGCAAACAGG
rnacentral:rRNA from 1 species